UACAGAGGGGGCAAGCGUUGUUCGGAAUUACUGGGCGUAAAGGGCGCGUAGGCGGCCCGCUAAGUCGAACGUGAAAUCCCCGGGCUCAACCCGGGAACUGCGUCCGAUACUGGCAGGCUUGAAUCCGGGAGAGGGAUGCGGAAUUCCUGGUGUAGCGGUGAAAUGCGCAGAUAUCAGGAGGAACACCGGUGGCGAAGGCGGAUCUCUGGGCCUUACCUGACGCUGAGGAGCGAAAGCAUGGGGAGCAAACAGG
rnacentral:rRNA from 1 species